AGUUUCCGGGCUUGCUCGGAAAUUAGUGGCGAACGGCUGAGUAACNCNNANGUGACCUACCCCGUAGUGUGGAAUAACUGCCCGAAAGGGUAGCUAAUACCGCAUGUUGAGCCGACAUCAAUGUCGUCUCCAAAGCAGAAAUGCGCUAUGGGCGGGGCCUGCGUUCAAUUAGCUAGUUGGUGGGGUAAUGGCUCACCAAGGCGACGAUCGAUAGGUGGUCUGAGAGGACGAUCACCCAGACUGGGACUGAGACACGGCCCAGACUCCUACGGGAGGCAGCAGUCGGGAAUUUUGCGCAAUGGGGGAAACCCUGACGCAGCAAUACCGCGUGUGGGAUGAAGGCCUUCGGGUCGUAAACCACUUUUUUCGGGGACGAUAAUGACGGUACCCGAAGAAUAAGCCACGGCUAACUACGUGCCAGCAGCCGCGGUAAUACGUAGGUGGCAAGCGUUGUCCGGAUUUACUGGGCGUAAAGCGCGCGCAGGCGGUGAAUGAAGUCGAAAGUGAAAGCCCCGAGCUCAACUCGGGAACUGCUUUCGAAACCAGUUCACUUGAAGGUGGAAGAGGGAAGUGGAAUUCCGAGUGUAGCGGUGGAAUGCGUAGAUAUNNNGAGGAACACCANNNGCGAA
rnacentral:rRNA from 1 species